GCUGCACAGGCUGUGCACUCACAGCUCCAAGCUGCAUCGUUCAGAAUCUGUCAUCAACAGGGUUCUGUGGAGUUGAGCAGUGCACAACCUACGCAACUGCCCAUGCCCAUUGCAGUCCUGGCUCCUGAUACACAGUUAGGAUGAAGCAUGGGGGAGGCGGGCAAGUGACUCACUCGAACUUGGGAAAUGAUGUUCAAGGCAACCACAGGGCUCCUUAGGUAAACUGAUCUUUUUUCAGGGGAGAGGGGAGACAGGAUCUCACUCUGUUGCCCAGGCUGGAGAGUAGUGGUGCAAUACCAGCUCACUGCAGCCUCAACUUCCCAGGCUCCAGUGAUCCUCCUGCCUCAGCCUCCCUAAGUGCUGGGAUAACAGGCGUGAGCUACUGUGCUGGCCGAUUGAUCUUUUUUUAAACCUCCUACACUAAGCUGAAUUGAAUGCGGGUUCUGUCAUCUGUUGGCAUUCAGCAUUUGGACGCUGUCUGGGCUGAGGGCUUGACCAGGCUCCAAGGGACUCAAGUCCUGGUGGCUGGAGGAGCAGCAGCCCCUCACCUUGAGCACAGGGACCUGAGUGCACAGGGAGGAGGCACAGGAGGGAGGGAGUGGUGGGGUCUUCCAGGCUUUCCUGGCUCAUGGCCCAGCAGGCAGGGCUCAGGCCUGCACAGCGAGGUCCUCACGCCGCUGUCUCUGCCUCCCAGGACCCCAGCCAUGAUCGGCUGCUCCUUCGUAGUGGACCGCGAGUACUUCGGAGACAUUGGGCUGCUGGACCCCGGCAUGGAGGUGUACGGCGGCGAGAACGUAGAACUGGGCAUGAGGGUGACAAUGGAUUGGGACCUUGGAAAAGUGGGUCCUUCGGCACAGAGGGUGG
rnacentral:lncRNA from 1 species